CGGACGGGUGAGUAACGCGUGAGAAUCUAACUUCAGGACGGGGACAACAGUUGGAAACGACUGCUAAUACCCGAUGUGCCGAAAGGUGAAACCUAAUUGGCCUGAAGAAGAGCUUGCGUCUGAUUAGCUAGUUGGUGGGGUAAAGGCCUACCAAGGCGACGAUCAGUAGCUGGUCUGAGAGGAUGAGCAGCCACACUGGGACUGAGACACGGCCCAGACUCCUACGGGAGGCAGCAGUGGGGAAUUUUCCGCAAUGGGCGAAAGCCUGACGGAGCAACGCCGCGUGAGGGAUGAAGGUCUUUGGAUUGUAAACCUCUUUUCUCAAGGAAGAAGUUCUGACGGUACUUGAGGAAUCAGCCUCGGCUAACUCCGUGCCAGCAGCCGCGGUAAUACGGGGGAGGCAAGCGUUAUCCGGAAUUAUUGGGCGUAAAGCGUCCGCAGGUGGUCAGCCAAGUCUGCCGUCAAAUCAGGUUGCUUAACGACCUAAAGGCGGUGGAAACUGGCAGACUAGAGAGCAGUAGGGGUAGCAGGAAUUCCCAGUGUAGCGGUGAAAUGCGUAGAGAUUGGGAAGAACAUCGGUGGCGAAAGCGUGCUACUGGGCUGUAUCUGACACUCAGGGACGAAAGCUAGGGGA
rnacentral:rRNA from 1 species